UUUUCUCUUAAUUAAUUGCAUAAAACUGAUAAAAAUGUUUAAAAAAUACCAUUCACUUAAAACUACUGUAUCAGUAAUUAAUAUUUCAGUCACAGGAAUGAGAUAUUUUAUUUUUAAUUUAAUACAGUUAUUGUUAUAAUUGGUCACACCACAUGAUGAGUGGUCGCUCCAAAUGACAUGAACACUGCAUAUCAUUAAAAAUAUAUAUUUAAAGAGAUCAGUAAACAAAAACUUCUAAACAAAAAAUAUAUUUAAACCAGAUACCAUUAUAGAAGUUUUCAAAACAGCAGUCAUGGCCGGACAGUCGCACAGCAUGACAUUUUGACACUUCAUUUAUCAGAAAAAUUACAAAAAGCUAAUGUUUUUUAAAGUUACAGGUGAGUACAUAUAUGGGAUAUAUUUUUUGUGAAAAAAAUCCAGUUGGACACAAAAUGUAGGCGUCACGUAAUUGACCCUACGAUGAGAACCAUAUAUGAAUUCAACAUUAAGAAUAUAGUGCUAACAGUAACAACUCUGCAUGAACGUGCGUUUAUAUGUAUCGUUCUCUGUAAAUACAGUAUUCAGCCCAUCCCUUGUGCAGAUGGUAAAUGUAUAAAAGGAAAUAGUUUGAAUGGGCCUGAUGCAGCUGAUAAAAUGAAAUGUGUUAUCUAUAAUUACAGGUGCUAUGCUUAAAGUCUGUGAGUCAAGGAGAAGCUGCCCCAGGGAGGUCAGGACGGUGUGACGGUUUAAGUGGUGGCUACAUUAACUGGUGACAGUAGUCCCAGGUGUAUCCGGGCGUGGCUUGUCAACCAGGAAACGCGUUCUGAUGACUGUUUAUCCACGUGAUGUAUAUUUAUGCAGGAAAAAUGCCUCUGAAUGUAGUUUGCACAGAGUUACCCUGCAUGUUGAUUCACAGCGAAAUCUACACACCUACAAAGUUAGUUUGAAGGAGGACAGUGGGACUGAUCAUGUGACUGUGUCGAUGCCUGUUCAGAACACUGCAAACGUCAAUAAAUCGUGCAAAUGGGGCUGGAUAUAAACAAUAAAACAGCAGGAGGUCUGUCUGGAGGUUCGGGUCACUGGAUGUGGGCUGACGGUCGGUCAGCGUCCUUCUCCAGACUGAAGGGGACGCCGCCGUCCGUCGGCUCGGACUGCGUGCUGGUUGAAAACCCAAGAAGCUGGAUUUCCACAAGCUGCUCCCCCGAAUCUCAACACGCAUUCAUCUGUUCAUCGUCGGCUCACACUCACUGAGACGUGGUCACUGCUACCAGUCGUGGCGACCUCUGUGAACGUGUCCAAGUCAUAUUUAAUGACACGCAAUGAUGCUGCUCUGUACAUUAGUUUUCAUAUUUUUGUCAUGAUAAAGGUUGCUGCACAAACAGAAA